rnacentral:rRNA from 1 species
ACAAGCGGAGGAGCAUGUGGUUUAAUUCGAUGAUACGCGAGGAACCUUACCUGGGCUCGAACGUAAGAUGACUGUAGGUGAAAGCUUACAUCUCUUCGGAGCAUUUUACGAGGUGCUGCAUGGUUGUCGUCAGCUCGUGCCGUGAGGUGUCGGGUUAAGUCCCAUAACGAGCGCAACCCCUACCUUUAGUUGCCAUCAGGUUAAGCUGGGGACUCUAAAGGAACUGCCUACGCAAGUAGUGAGGAAGGCGGGGAUGACGUCAAAUCAGCACGGCCCUUACGUCCAGGGCUACACACGUGCUACAAUGGCCGAUACAGAGGGCAGCUACCUGGUGACAGGAUGCAAAUCUCCAAAGUCGGUCUCAGUUCGGAUCGGAGUCUGCAACCCGACUCCGUGAAGUUGGAUUCGCUAGUAAUCGUGAAUCAGAAUGUCACGGUGAAUACGUUCCCGGGCCUU